AGCAGGUAAAAAAAAAAAAGUCACUCUAUAUCACCUGAAUGUGAUACCAAGAUGGGGUCAGGAGGAAGAGGAAAUGUUGGUGGAGGAAGAAGAGAGGAAAGCUGAAUAUCAAUGGACCGAUCUUCUGUAACGGUAUCAAUCAUGAAAGAAAAAGAGGGAUGUGUGCAGCUCCUUGGUGUGGUGCAUUACAGAUGGGAGUUCUAAGGCUGUGGCUGUCAUCUUUUGAUUAAGAAAAGGAAAUGAUUUCACUAAAAA